UAUUAUUUAGCCUAUCUAUAUCUGUAACUAUAGAGGAACCUACUAAUUGCGAAGGAAUUUACGGUGCACAAUUGAAUGCUUGUGUAAGGUUACACAAGCUACUUUUGACCUGCAAUAGCAGGUUUUUCCGGUUUUUUUAAAAAAAAUAAAAAAUACAGAUUUAUUAAUUACAAUAAUUAACUAGUGAUAAUUUUAAUUAAGUUAAAUAGAUCUACUAAACUUGAAUUUUCCAGAUUUCAGAAUACAUCAUUCAUCUUCAUCUCUCUUUCUUCCCCAUGACCCACUACGAUGAACAACGACCAGGUCUUGCACAACUCCAUAUUCUCCCUCAACCUCCCCUCCAUCUCAACCAUGCACCGCAGGACCUCCGUCGCGGAUUCCGGUAACAACUAUCGUGAAGUUGCAAGAACCAAAAAAAAAUUCAGAACCAACCUAGAAAACCCAAAAAAAAAAAUCAGAAGCCAUAGACCCAAACAGAUCUGCGAAGGCCUCUUCUGCUAUAGUCGCCACCUCCUCCAUCCCCCACCUGCAACCGAAACCGAGAACCCAGAUCUACAAACGAACCCAGGAACCAAACCAAGAACCAAAGGGUGUUGUGGUCGCCAGAAAAUGCGCCGACGGAGGAGAAGCAGAGAGGGAAAUUUGCAGUGACCCAUCACCAACAGAUAUCAGAACCCCCAUCUCACCCUUCAACAAAACCCCCCAAACCACUAUCAAACAGAGAGACAGAGAGGAGAUGAAGGAGAAAACCCAGCCACCACAGAUCCAAGCAAAUCCCACCGUCCUCCUAUUCUGCCGCUCCUCGUCGUGUCAAGAUUGUGGAGUAUCAGACCGACGUUGCUCUUCCCUUUCGCUCUCAAUCCACUUCGAUUCACAGGGCGAGUUUGGAUCUCGUUCAGCAGCCAUGGGUCGGAUCUAGAUUUGGGGUCAUCAAAGAUCUGAAAAAUAAAAGAAGGUUGCAAGAUAGAGCUUGGGGAAGAAGAGAGGAUACACACAUAGUUAAAUGAUAAGAAAUAAUAGAUUUUUUUAUUUAAAUUUCUCAUAAUCUGGUGUUUGUUGGGUCUGUGGUGGCUAUGGAGGCCUUGGCUUGGUGAUUCAAUUUUGAAAUAAUAGCAAAUGGGUUCCAGGUUGUUCUAGAAUAAUGAAAAUGAUAAUUAAUAAUUUGUUUAUUUUCA